GACGAACGCUGGCGGCGUGCUUAACACAUGCAAGUCGAACGGUGAAGCUCUACCUUGCUGGAGUGCUUCAGUGGCGAACGGGUGAGUAACACGUGAGCAACCUGCCCUUGACUUUGGAAUAAGCUCUGGAAACUGCGUCUAAUACCGGAUACGAGCACCGUCUGCAUGGGCACUUUCUGGAAGGUUUUUCGGUUGGGGAUGGGCUCGCGGCCUAUCAGCUUGUUGGUGAGGUAAUGGCUCACCAAGGCUACGACGGGUAGCCGGCCUGAGAGGGGGACCGGCCAAACUGGGACUGAGACACGGCCCAGACUCCUACGGGAGGCAGCAGUGGGGAAUAUUGCACAAUGGGCGAAAGCCUGAUGCAGCGACGCCGCGUGAGGGAUGACGGCCUUCGGGUUGUAAACCUCUUUCAGCAGGGAAGAAGCGAAAGUGACGGUACCUGCAGAAGAAGCACCGGCUAACUACGUG
rnacentral:rRNA from 1 species